rnacentral:lncRNA from 1 species
CAAUCUUAAAAAAUGAAUCAAAAUAUUUUAAAACUAAAAAAUAUAUUUUAUAAUCAAGCGCAAAAAGCGUAGCCAUGUCGAAGCCAAACCAAAGCCACAAAUAAUGGUUCCACUUAUGUUGCCUGAUUAGUCAAUACAAAGAGUUAUAAUUUACGAUCAAUCCCUGCCACAUUCUUACCCCGACCCUGCCACAGAAGCUUGCUGCAGAGCAGGGGCUUACAAUGUUGCAUGUUCGUAGCGUGUUUUGUGUGUUGCAUUUGAAAAUUUUCAAUUAAAAUUGAACGUGAUUGAAAAUGAUGAAAGUGCGAAGUGGCAAAAACCAAUUUCUCAGCACAGUGCGCGAUAAUUGCAGGCAACUACGCGAAGAAGUCGAAGGAUCUGUGUUGUGGGAUGCGCUGCCAAAUGGCUUGGUGCCGCAUAAUACAAAACCUUAUUUAUGGUAACGCAGUGGCAAGCAGGCAACAAGCUCAUCUUCGGUCUGUAUUUGUAUCUUUAUCCCCCAUCUGCAUCUGCAUCUGCAUCUGCAUCUACAUCCUCCUGUUCCAGCCAGUCCGCGAUUUGGCCAAACAGCACAAUUUUCAAAGCAACAAAUGAGAGUGUAAAUUUGCGUGUAAACACUCGGGUCACCCGCUGACACAUGCUAGAGGAGCUAAGAGCAAUCUCGGAGACUGCAACAGGCACUGGAUUAGACGACUGACUUCCAGUUGGGGCAUGGAGCAUGGGCAGGGGCUGCUGCUGCUGGUAGUGGCUGCCUGCCUGCCCGUCGGUAGUCACAGGAGUCGACGCGGGCGCAUGCGCAUGCUCACACAGCGCAUAAAUUUAUCGGAUCGAAUAUAAAUUAUAUGCAAGCCAAUAUCAGCAGAGAGCAGACCACGAUUCUCCGCUCUCCAUGCCCCGCCACACACUCUCGCAGAGUCGUCUCCAUGCCGUUCCCCCAGUUACCAUCUCCAUUGGCCAUUCCCAGUGAUAAAAAGGAACUCAGCAUGUCGCCGCGGAUGCGUUGAUCAUUCAUUAUUUAAGGAUUGAAAAGUUAAUUAACAUUUUUGCCCAGCCAAAAGCUCUCCAUUUCGCUGUGACUUGGAUUCAGACGCGGACUCGAACUGCCACUGCCACUGCCACAGCGACGCGACUCCUCCUCGCUCCCAGUCCCGAUUUACGAGAGGUAACUUUUAGUAGAUUUUUUUUUGGCCUACCAUUUUAUGCCGCACAGCGAAAUCAAGACCAGAGCGACCAUUUGGACAUUGCCAUGACUCUGUUGAAAAAUUAUAGAAAAUUGUUAUUGAUACUCGCCAAGGGGGAAAAUGGUAACGCGGGGCCUGGCUGCUGCCACAAUGAAUGUCUCAAUUUGUAAACUGGGGUAGAUUUGGGGGUCUUUUGUAUGCAGAAACGUUAGGAGGAAAGUGGCUGAGUAUUUGAGCUACAAAAUGAAAGUGAUCGAACAGGAAGACAACAUUUUGGCUAUAUUAAUUCUUUCUUUAUUUAUUUAUAUAUUCUUUAUUCAAAAUUCUAAAAAAGUAAACGUG